rnacentral:SRP_RNA from 1 species
GCUGGGUGUGGUGGUGCACGCCUGUAGUCCCAGCUACUCAGGAGGCUGAGGCAGGAGAAUCGCUUGAACCUGGGAGGCAAAGGUUACAGUGAGCUGAGAUCGUGCCACUGCACUCUAGCCUGGUGACAGAGCAAGACUCCAUCUCAGAAAAAAAAAGGGUUGUCCAGUUACAUGUGCAUGCCAGGUAAUCAACAAAUGCUUUUUAUUUUUAUUUAUUUAUUUAUUUGUUUAGAGACAGAGUCUUGCUCUGUCUCCCAGGCUGGAGUGCAGUGGCAUGAUCUGUGCUCACUGUAACCUCCACCUCCCAGGUUCAAGUGAUCCUCCUGCCUCAG